rnacentral:rRNA from 1 species
AUUGAACGCUGGCGGCAGGCCUAACACAUGCAAGUCGAACGAGUGGCGGACGGGUGAGUAAUGUCUGGGAAACUGCCUGAUGGAGGGGGAUAACUACUGGAAACGGUAGCUAAUACCGCAUACCAUCGGAUGUGCCCAGAUGGGAUUAGCUAGUAGGAGGGGUAAAGGCUCACCUAGGCGACGCUCCCUAGCUGGUCUGAGAGGAUGACCAGCAACACUGUAACUGAGAAACGGACCAGUCUCCUACGGGAGGCAGUCGUGGUGAAUAUUGCACAAUGGGCGAAAGCCUGAUGCAGCCAUGCCGCGUGUAUGAAGAAGGCCUUCGGGUUGUAAAGUACUUUCAGCGGGGAGGCGUUACCCGCAGAAGAAGCACCGGCUAACUCCGUGCCAGCAGCCGCGGUAAUAC